rnacentral:lncRNA from 1 species
AAUCAUACCCUUCCCGGGGCCAGAGUCUGGCUCUUAGACCCUGCGAGAGACCCGGGGCUGGUGUGGAGAGUGAGCUGAGCUGACCAGCCACUGCUGGCUUCAUCCAGGGAGGACACGGAGACAGAGACCCGGGGCUCAGUGUCAGGCCGACCAUGUGACCCCGGUGAGUCACCUGACCUCUCUCAGCAGGGCCAUGGGGACCAAGAAGGUCUGAGUGAGUCACCCCCACCCCCGCCCCCGCCCUCACUUAGCCCUGUGCAGCCACCCCCGCCCCGUGCCUUGGGCAGAGCGGAGGCGGUAACUUGUUACUGUUUCUAAAUGUGACCUGCCUCUCCUCACUGUCCCCGGCGUUUCCCUUCUCUCCCUCUACCUGUGUUCCCAACACUAAUCCAGGUGGACACACCUGCAGCAGCGGGAAUUCUCCGGGCACCGCCACACAUGGAUGCUAGGGACACGGCUAAGUGAGAGCUUGGCUCUCAGAAUAUAGCUCGUUGCCCUGCUGUCCCUGCAGGAAAUGUGUUCAUGUGUGACUUUCCAUUUGCGGCCACGCAGACCCCAGUGAGGUUUCUGCCGGCACCACCAGAAACAGUAAGAUUGAAGAUAGAUUUUUCUCUGAGAAGUGCAGAAUUCGAAUUUCUUUUUCCAACUCUUCCUGUUUGUAUUCUGUGUCCUGGUUUGUGCAGAAGAACCCGUAUCUGCCUCUGGUAGGCUUACUUUUCAAGCUCCGUUCAGCACAUGAUGUCAGACACCUCUAGAGGCACGCAGGGCACUGCAGAAGCCGUGGGCACAGGACCCCUGGCCUGGGGAGUGUGCUGCAGCUUCUCUGGAGAGAACACCUCUGAGGAACCCACCCACUGGGACGAAAGCCUCGGGAACCGGAAGCUCCCAGAGAAGUGAGCAGAGGGGCUGAGUGGGCCUGACUGUCUCUGAGGGGGAAUUGACAGCUUACCUUUGCCUGGGCCUUUGGUUAUGAUGAUAACUCGCAUUUUCUGUGCUCCUAGAACGUAGCUUUAUGUAACUGUCAUCAUAGCACCGGAGUAGCUCAGAUAGCAUUGUUUGCUUUUUCUUUUUUCUUUUAUUAUUGAAGUAGAGUUGAUUUACAAUGUUGUGUUUGUUUCAGGUAUCACAAAUUCCUAUUGUGGCGCAGUGGAAAUGAAUCCGACUAGUAACCAUGAGGUUACGGGUUCGGUCCCUGGCCUCGCUCAGUGGGUUAAGGAUCCGACGUUGCCAUGAGCUGUGGUGUAAGUUGCAGACAUGGCUCGGAUCCUGCCCGGCGUUGCUGUGGCCAUGGCGUAGGCCAGCGGCUACAGCCUUGAUUCAACCCCUUGUCUGGAAACCUCCAUAUGCCGUGGGUUCGGC